CUAACUAAGAAAAGACGAGUGAAUUCGAAGUAAAAAUAUAUAUAAAUAUGAUCCGAUCAGGAAGACAAGGAAACCAUUAAGAAUGAGGAAAAACUAGUCAAACUUGCCUUAUCUUGUCGUUACCUUUCCUAAUCCUAAAUUACCAAAGAUUUAGUCACACGAAGGGUUCCUAAAUACUUUGGGACAUUUCAUUACAUAUUCUACAAGUCCUAAACCUGCCCUAAAAGUCCAAGCCAUACCAUCAUUCACCAUUUCUCUUCCUUGCCGUGCAACGGAGCCAUUCCUUUCCUAUUUUCUGCCAUAAAUCACUCCAUGCCGCGCACAUUCAUCCAUGUUCCCUCCUUGCACUCAUUUGCUGCACCAUUCCACUUCCUUUCCUUUGUCUACCAUGUGCACAAUAUCCUUUCACCUCCUUGCACUCAUUGAUUCACCACUUACUCACAUUUCCACCCAUGUUAUGCAUAAUCUGUUGGAAAUAUGCCCUGAAAGUCAAUCUUUGGAAGAAAUCUUUCAGGACAAAUGAAUGGAUGUAUGGAUGAAUCUUAUACAUCAAAUGGCAAAGACACGAAUUAGGACUAUCUCAAUAAACGACAUAUGUCCUAAAUAGUGUAUCCAUGGACAAUGGAUCGAUUGGAGAAGUAAUCUAAUGAAGUUAGACUACAGAGACCUUCUUCACAUAACCAGAUGUCCAAAAGGUUCCUGGUCAUUGGAUUGUCGGAGGGAUACUGACAAUGCGUAGACC
rnacentral:lncRNA from 1 species